rnacentral:lncRNA from 1 species
AGGGAGAGAGUUAGAGAAGACUCUGCUCCACCACCUCUUGUGGAAGAUCUUUGUCAGGCCCACCCGCAGCCAUGCCCACAGCCAUCUGGAGGCCUAAACGUCUCCCUGUGAUGCUGUGCUUCAGUGGUCACGCUCCUUGUUCUUUCAUGUUCAGCCUGUACACCUGGCUCCUCCUUUUAAGUUCUUAGAAGACAGCAGUAGCAGAACUAGUAGGAGUACCACAGUCUUCGAUCUUUCUGAUAAGUGCAUAGAAGAAACGCUGACGUUUGCUGUCCUCCCUCUCCACCUCGGCUACCACAAAGGGAAAGGCCCCCUGUCCAGUGGACACGUGACUCGCGUGACCUAUCGAUCAUUGGAGAUGACUGGCACUCCUUACCCUGCCCCCUUGCCUUGACUACAAUAAAUAGCAGCGCCUCCAGGCACUCGGGGCCACUACCUGUCUGUCUCCGCGCUUUGGUGGCAGUGGUCCCCCGGGCCCAGCUGUCUUUCUUCCUAUCUCUUUGUCUUCUGUCUUUAUCUCUUCGAUCUCUCGUCUCCGCACACACGCGAAGAGAAAACCCACAGACCCGGUAGGGGUGGACCCUACAUUAUCUCAGCUACAACAUAAUCAGGAUAUUCACGUGGACUACUGAGUCUUUCGGUGCCCCCUUGCUGUUUUAGUUUUGUCCUGCGGCCGAGUGUUUCCCUCGCUUCACGCCAACACAAUCUCCGCCGCCCUGUCUUGUCAUCCCCAUUCUACAGCCCAGCACGGUGUAGUAUGGCAGCCGCUAGCCACAGGUAUCUAGGGAGCCCUGGAAAUGUGGUCAGUUCUAAUGGAGCUGCGCUGUUAAGUGUGAAAUACACAUGGGAUUUUGACGGCAGUGGGAGCAAAAUUCUCCCAAUUUUUUUUUUUUUUUUUUUUUUUUUUCAGACGGAGGUUCCGCUCUUGUUACCCAGCCUGGAGUCCAAUGGCGC